GAAGGUAAAAUUUUCCAGCCACGGCCGGCGGCUCGCAGAGUACAAUAAACAGGGACGGAGAACUAUUUGCAUGGACCCCCCUUCCUCAUGAUGCGGUGGAGAAGCCACGGCCACUCGGUCCUGCCAGAUGUUCUUGGGGUUACUGUACAUGGGGAAGACGAGCAGAGCUAAACAAGAAUUUAAAGAGGACGAAGGAAGGAAAGCGCCAUCCUGCUCAAAUACAAAGAUCUAAGAGGGUUGUUUUCCCACAUCCUCCAAAGCUGUGAGCAUUAGAACUAAUAUUUUCCCAAAGAGUGCCAUCGUAUUAAAGCCACUUUAUUAAGGAGGGGUGUAUCUGCAAAACAGUCAAGAGACUAGAACCCUGGGAGCCAGAGAUGACAGUGAGCACGCACUGCUUGUGGCUCACAGUCUUCCAGUGGGGCCUAUCGAUCGGUGACUGACUUCCUGCUUGCUGACACAUUCCCCCUCCCCGGUUUCCUGGAUUGGACUGCAUUAAAGAAUUCACUGCUUACCUUCAAACUUACAUGUUGGAGUUUUCACGGCGGUUGUUUUGAGAUCAUUGAGACUCGGAUUGAUUUCGACAUUUAACCGAAAGGAACAGAGCCCAAAGUAGUUCUCAUCAUGGCCUUGAACGUUGCCCCCGUGAGAGACACAAAGUGGCUGACGCUGGAGGUCUGCAGACAGUACCAGAGAGGAACGUGCUCACGCUCCGACGAAGAAUGCAAGUUUGCUCACCCCCCCAAAAGUUGCCAGGUUGAAAAUGGAAGAGUAAUUGCCUGCUUUGAUUCCCUCAAGGUAAGAUGAUCAUUUUACAUGUCGCCUCCAGCUUGCGUAGGGCUCUCAAGGAGAGCACUGCAUUGAGCUCUGCAGGGUUUGCCGUUCAGAUCGGUUCUGUCUUCCUUGUGGUGGCUACUGGGAGGUUUAUGUUGUCUUUUGGUUUGGUUUUCACUGAAACUUAUUUAUACUAGGCAUACAAAAAUUUUUUUUUCCAUAUCUGUGUUUAAAUUAAAAAUACAUGGUGGUGUAUUUCUGGUCUGGUUUGACAUUCAGGUGCCCAAGAGUUUCAAAUCAAAGUCAGGCCUUUGACAACGGCAGUAAACGUUUUAUUAACACAUGAUCUUCUCCGGGUUACAUGAAGGUGAGGAAGCCGACCCUGUCACUCUCAUGUGCCAGUCACUCUGACUCACAUCUCAGUUCCUCUUCUUGUGGCUUCUGUUCUUGACUAGAGCCUUCCUAAAAUGCUUCCUGGGGGUGGGGGUUCAUUCUUUCUUGAAAAUGUUUUAUGGCUGGCAGAAAUUACUGAGUGUACCCUCAAAGUUAGGUUCUUGAAGGACCUCCUCUCUGUAAGGAACAUCACGGAGGAAUCCAGUGUGACUCAGAUGUCCACUUGAUGAGCUCAUGUCUGGAGGGAAAGUAGGGCACAGUGACAAGUAAUUGUGGUGCAGGGAAGAAAGACAGAACACUUCCAUGGGAGACCUCAGAAGAGAGCUGGCUUCCACCUGACAGGAAUGCUUGUGGAGGCUGGCCUGCCCCAGUCGUAUAUUGAGUUGGGUAGAGUUUGGGUUGAAGAAAUGGGAGAAUUCAAUGAAAAACUAUGCUUGGAAGAAGUGGGAUGGGUUGGCUGAGAGUUCUCUGAGGUUUACUAUAACCCUACAAUUAUGCUGCUUUGAAUUCCAGAUCGGCUUAGGUAGUCUUAAGGGCGUUGUGAUGGCUAAGACACUUAGCUUGAUGUUUUUGCCUGUGAAAAACUCCAAUAUGCUUACCAAUUUUAAAGCAUAUUACGAAUGCUUUCAAUUUCCUUUCUGAGAAAUCAUGGUGCUAUGAAUGCAUGGACCCCAUUCUCAGGUGUUGAAGAGACUGGGUGCUUAAGGUGAUUAAAUCAUAUGUGGAAAAUUAUGUCUCAAAGCAGGGAAAUAAUUCAGUUUGCAAAGGCCUUGUGAGGACCUGGGUUUAUGCCUAAAACUCACAUGAGGAAAUAAAAGGAGGUACCCGGUCAGUGCUUGGGAAGUAGAAGAGGGGCAUGCCUGUGGCCUGGUUAACAGGUUCCAGGCCAUGAGAGAUGCUGCUUCUAUGGAAGGUGGAUUGCAUCCAAGGAACAACACUUUGAACCCACAUGCACACCACAGACAGACAGACAGACAGACACACACACACAUACACACACAUACAAUCCACUCUCUUCUCUCUCACACACACAUGUGCACAAUGUACACAUGUAUACCAAACACACCACAUACACUACACACACACAUAAACCAUACAUAUGCUCACACACAUACACACAGUCAUACACACACUCACACACAUACCAUACACAUUUUCACACACCAUAUACAGGUACAUAUACACCACACACACACACACACACACACACACACACACACACACACACACACUCACAAACAUGAACACACACCAUAUACACUGGAACACACAUAUACACAAAUUAUGUCUUAAAAGACAUAAUUCUAACUUAUCAAUCUUGUAAAUAUGUCUUCAAACCAAUGUUAAUAUUUGCAUAUCUUGAAAAAGGAAACUCUGUCUACAUACUAAAAGCAGAAGAACCUAUUUUUAGCCCAAGAGAAGAAAAGCUUGGGAAAUCAAAUGGGAACUCCAUAUAGUAAGCUACCACGGUUUUAGACCCUUUCGUCAGAAAAGGCUUUUCUGACUAGACUAAGCAAAAGCUAGACAGAUAACUCAUAAUUGAUCUGAACCGUAGUAAUUUAAGUCCAUUUCUGCAUUUUUUAUUUCCCCUUUCGUUGAGAGAGGAAAGGCAAUCUGAACUUACCUUUUCACCCCUCACCAAUGGAAGUGUCCUGUAAAAGCAGUGGACAUUCAAAGCUGGCUUCUGGAAGCCUCAGAUAUAAGACACUAUUUCUCAAUUCCCCAGGGGAGAUAACACCACCCACACACCCACUGAUGACAUUAUCCAUAUAAAAUCUGUCACAUUAAAUGCAUACUCAGAAGUGUCCUAACGAAUGCGCAAGAUCCCUGUCACUCUCGAGGUAUUGCUAAGGACCCCAGCCGGUGAGUGACCCAAGGUCACCCAGCUUGCCAAUGGCAGAGGGGAGCUACACUUUAUAGGCUUUUGCAUCUAGAAAAACUAUACUGAUACUUUUGACAUACAUGACCUAAUUGCUUAUGCCCUCCUGACAUCAUUUUUGAGUUGGAUGACAUCGUUGGUUUUGCCUUCCUGACAUCUUUUUUUGGUAUUUUUAUAAGUUUUCAUUUCUUUUUUUUAAGUCAGUGUGUGCUAGUUUGUUUUCUUGUUACUACUAAAAGGUCAUAACAUCAAAUAUUACUGUUUUAGUAAGUAUCCUAAAGUUAAAGAAAGGUAGGGGGGCUAUUUCUGACUGCUGAGGCUCAGUGCCCCUUGAUUAUCUCCGAGUAAAACCUCCCAGUCAGGUCUCCAAUCCUUACGCUUCACCACAUCACCAUGGGUCCAUCAGAACUACAGUGGGUCCUGAAUCACGCCGGACCUUAGGUUUAGCACAGAAUUCAAGGAAGAAGCCAGGAGGCUGUUGAGCAUUAGACAGGUGAAAGGAGACUUUCAGAUCCAUUUUCAGAAGUAUGGGAGCACCCUCCUUCAAGUGUGGGAGCACCUCGGGGUACUGCUCCAGGCUGUCAGUCCCGUUUGAGAACUGUGGACUUGCAGGUGACUUAUUUGAAUGCGAAGUCAUAUAGUCUAGAGUUAUCAAACUGUAAAGAAUGUAGAAGGAGCCCUCCAGGCACAGGUGCAAGAUGGGCCUCCAUCUGAAAACUGCUCACCGUCCUCCCUACCUUCUCUGGAGUGAUGAAUGGUGGCUCCUCAGUCCUAUAUAUCAGUCACGGCAUUAAACAAUCAUAGUCCAGCUGGGCGGUGGUGGCGCACGCCUUUAAUCCCAGCACUUGGGAGGCAGAGGCAGGCGGAUUUCUGAGUUUGAGGCCAGCCUGGUCUACAGAGUGAGUUCUAGGACAGCGAGGGCUACACAGAGAAACCCUGUCUUGAAAAACCAAAAAAAAAAAAAAAAAAACUAAAAACAAAAAAAACCAAAAAACAAUUAUAAUCCUUGAGAUUUUGAUGCCGUUUGCUAGAAGAUGUUUAUAAGCACUAUGGGGUGUUUGUACUCAUGAGAGGAAUCUCUGUUGCCGUGUCAAUAAAGGGACCGCACACUUC
rnacentral:lncRNA from 1 species